rnacentral:piRNA from 1 species
UGACGAGACCAGAGUGCGUGGCAAUU